CCCCUGUGGGAGAGCACUGAACUGAUGUUUGUUCAAAGCUCAUUUCAACCUGUUGAAGUCAUGAAUGAAAGUGCAGACUGAGAGUGGAUCACAUGAUGUUUAAGCUCAGCUCCACCAAUGACGUUUAGACUGAGGUCACUUCCUGUAACAGAGUCCUUCAAAGGCUGAUGACAUCACAGCGAUCCAAAGGUUCCUACAAACGUGUCCUUCUUCUUCUCUGGGAUCUGAAGCAUCAGGAAGCCUACUAUGAGACGGAUUGGCUUGAGUUACAGCUACAUUUACCAGAGGAUCACAGACCCACGCAGUAAACACAAGAGAGAUAAACAUCUUUGUGAACACAGGUCAGCUCUGCAACUGCAGAGUUACUGUUUGUGUCUGUGAACCCUCUUAAAAUCUGGGGUUUGGCUACAGCGGACGAGCCUCAGACGGCCUUUCAGCAGCUCUCCUUGAGCUGUUUCACCAUCUCUCCUUAGAGUGCAGGUCUCUGCUGAGGUUAACAGGCUCUACUGAGCUCUGGGAGGAGAAUCAGUUUCCCAGUUUCACCAGUCGAGACGCAGAACCUCAGCUGGUCUUUGUAAUCUAUUUGAUGAUGGGACAGCAGGCCCAGCAUGUCCAAAGACUGAUGGCACAACGAUUGUGAGCAUGGACGCCGACUUUGGCCUUGGAAGAAAAAGUAUUACUAAGCGCUUGGAUGGAAACAUCAUGUUUGUAAGAGACAAAGAUGAAGAAGAAUAUCUGCUGUCACAUCCUAAUAGCUCCAAACCAGCUGAGCUGAGUAAAUGUUGAAGGAAACUUCGUGUCACUGCACCAUCACUAGUGAGGUGCUCUCCUAAAUAAGUCAUAGUUUUAAAUGGAUUGGUUAUAUAAGAGAUAGCAUUUGAAGUAUAUUUGUGAUGGAAACAGAUGUUUUUGAAUGUGCAGAUGUUGAGUGUUGUGUUUCUAUUUAUAAAACACUGCUUGGUGUUUAUCAGAAAAACAGAGGAGGAAUACUUCGAGGUGUUUCCCUGGCUGUCCAUGUUUAUGGACAUAAACUGCAGUGCCAGCUAUGAUUUAUUGGUCAAUGUACACAAACAGACACACAUGUCGUCCAAGUACAUGCGCACACUAUUAAGUCCAUACUUUGAUACUGUACAGUAUACAGCAAAUAUGUGUUAACCACAGAUCAUGUAGAGCACAUGAAGGCUUCCUGGGUUUGGGCUGACAGAUGGAGAAGGCAUGGAGAGGUUCUGGUCCUUUCUCAGAAGAUCUGCAUGAGUCACAAAGAAAUGACUCGACUGGACCUUCUGUUUUUUUAUUUCUGCCGUCCUGAAAGAGUCCCCGGGUAACCCGGCUUUAAUGGAACGUCUGUUUGUAGUUGCAAGUGAAUUUUGUAUUUUUCUCUUCCAUGUUUGUCCUAGUGACUAUUUCAGAACAAGACAUACAAGAGUGGAUGGAAAGAUAGACAGAAGCUGCCAAACAUGCACUUUUGAAAAUGAGACCCAAAGGCUUGUUGAUUUGUCCUGAUUUGCUUCUUAUUGGGUAUUCACGAAGCUGACAGUAGCUACUUCCUGUAUUUAGAUUCAGUUCCCAGAUGGAAGAGGAAUUAUGUCAUGAAACUGGUUAAAUUUAACCAGCUCAGGUAGGACACAUUUCUAUUUAAGGCCCUGCAACAGCCUCAUGCAUUAAACUAAAUUUAGUGUUUUGUUGAUAGAAUUUCCAACAGUAAGAGUUCAAAUGUUAGCAAACAGAGAGUGCUCUUCAAACAGCUGACAGACACGACCACAUUACAAGAAGAUGGUGUCAGUCCGAUUUGAUUUUCCAGUCAACGCUGAGAGACCUUGAUCAGGAAGUCAGAGGUCAGCUGAUGCUGCGGGCAGGAAAGGAUCGCUCUACUCAAUGUCAAAAGAAAACAUCCUGGCACUUGUUUUGUUUACUGUUAUUUAUAUUCAUUAUGUCAAUAUAAUGAUGAGCCUUUGAUAUUAACAAGCACGUUUUCAUUGACACAGAGAGGGAAACGUUGUAUUUUCUGCAUCACUUCCUCACAGUAAAGAUAUUUAGUUCAGAUACCGCACUCCUGCAAAGAAGAUUCUGUAGUUAAACUGCUGAUUGUACAAUAAACAAAUUUCACUUUGUAAAAUGUUGUGCAGGGAAGGUGUGGUUGCUUCUUAGACUAUCAUGACCUGGAUGACUGAGAACCUACGCAGACACGUUCUAAAGGAAGGGCUCCACACUUAUUGGACUGAUUUAACUCUGCUUAUUGUCAUCGAGCAAAGUUUGUUUAAUGUGUCUCUAUUGACAACACAAAGCAUUUUUUUUCACUCUUUAUAAAAUGUAGAAGUCUUAAAAUAUAUCUGCAGUGCUUGGUGUAAAUUCAGUGAUUCAAGCACAGUUGGUUGUCAUCUUCAUUGAAAAUAAAUAUGAACAAAUGAUAAUAAUAUAUAAAUAAAAUAAAUAAUAAAAUAGCAUGUGUUGUUGGUGUUUGUAUUUUCAGUAAAUGUCUUUUUGAAUGUAAAUGCUUUGUUCCAGACAGACAGGGAGUCGCUAUACGGCUGUCCAAGUAAACCCACGUCUCUAACAGAGACUGAAGAAGAUUGUAUCAGAGUCCAACAGUCUGCAGUGGCCACCACAGUCCACCGUCUUCACAUCACAAGGACAAUUUCAACAUGUCUGUGAAGUCUCCUUGUCCUUGUACUCAUGCCUUGAU